rnacentral:piRNA from 1 species
UGUUCUUUAUUUCCGGAGCGCCCUGAUAAU